CCCAUUGUAUACAUAGAAAUGCACAGAAAACUCCAUACAAAUAGAGAGCAAAAGGUUUUGGUCAAACUCAUGUGAAAAAAAAAUCCUUGCAUUGCUUCUGAUUUCACCCUCUGUGUGAUUAUCCAUGUCAAUACUGCUGCCCUUGUGGUUUGCUCUGAAUACAGUCUGCAAAAAACAGCAUGCGAUCGGUGAAAUAUGUGUAUUAUCUGCUGAAACCAACAAAAAUCUGUCCAAUGAACGCGAAAAAAAAAGAGAGAAUGGAUUAAGCGCUGGAGCUAAACACCCACUCGUGGACUCAGGUCUCCACGGCAUGGCUGCAAAGGAUCCGACAUGAAUUCCUACUGGGACCGCAAAGCAUAGCGAAAAUUGAGAUACAGUCCGGUUGUGAGCUAGGGUUAGGGGCGGCAUACCUCCGUUAAAACUGAUGGUGAUGGAGACCUAGAUAUUGCCGAGGGGUCCCUUCCAGCAGGGGUGGCGACUAGCGAGGGGGGGGGGUUUGCUCGCCGGCAGCCGGCGGCGCAUCUCCUCUUCUCCGGUGCGCGUCUCCUCUUCGCCGGCAGCAGACGAUGACACGUGGAGUGGGUAGGGGGUGGAUUCAUGGGCUUCCUGUUGGGCCGGACGAUCUC
rnacentral:lncRNA from 1 species